UUUGUCAGCAUUAAGGAAAAUGGCCAACAAUCCAUAACUAAAAAUCAAGCUGCUCUUCGUUACUAAAUAAUUAAUUAAAGCACAUACACAACUGCAUAAUGGUCAGUCCAGUAUCUUUUUGAUCUCCUCUCCUCUUUUCUCUUUGUCUAAUUUCACCUUUUCCUUUUUUUUUGUCUACUUUCUUUCCCUUUCAAUACCUCUCUUUCUCACCAGCCACACUGAGGCGCUGCCCUCCCAUUCCCUCCAAACUAAACAGUAACCUGAUAGAAAUUCAAAGCCCCAUCAUCCCUCUGUGACUCCUGGGUGAACCUACGGAAUCACUCGAGGCCAGUGAGGCAGCAGGGGAGGCCAGGCGGAGGCCGCGUCCUGCAGUCAGGUCCCGCGGAUGUAAACAGACACUCUGGUGACAGGCAGCCAGCGAAACGAGGAGGGGAGGCAGGAGCUGGCGGGAACCAUCGGCUGCACACUCCCAAACUCCUUGCUGGGUAUUAGACGGUGAUUAUAAGGUUCGCCGUGCCAUCUGAUUACCACAUGGCAACAGGCUUUAUUGAUCCCAGGACAAUCUGCGCCUGAGCAUUAUUCAGAAGUGUCGGGAGGGCAGGGAACUGGAAAUCAUUGCACUGUUUCCUCUUCCUCUUCGUCGUUCUCCUUCUAUUGAAAACUAUGAAGCGAGAGGUGGACAACAACAGGCCGGGCUGUUGUGCUUGCUCAUUAAGUCUGCCCAGAGCUCCACAUCAAAAAGGCCAUCUGCAGUAAAAAGGCCAGCCAACACACCAUGUGCUCCCAUCUCUUCCACAAGUUUCCUCUGCCCAGCAUCCAGACACGGCACUGCCCACCGUCUCAUCAAUUUUCCUCUUUGAUUUCAUCACUGACUGAAACUAAAGUGGCAUUACAAAGUUUUAUUUUGCAACAGAGUAAGUUUCACAACUGAAACUGUGUGAAAUUCAGAAACCCCAAGUUCUUAUCUAAUAUAUAAAAAAGUCUCUUAUUAAAAAUGUGGUGCCAAACAAAUACACAAGGAUUUAUUUUACAGUCUCAAAAAUGCCAACUGCUUUCAAUCCCACAGAGCAUUAGGAUUUAAAGUGAGCAUGAAACACAAACCCUUCAAGCAGAUUAAAUUUCAAAUCAAGCAGGCCAUGUAAAUGAUGUGGUGACAGGGGGCCCAGUGCAAUUAGCAUGCCAGGCUAGUGUUAAAGCAAUUAGGCAAAACAGACGGCUAGAGCACCAGGGCUAAGCAUGGGAAGGGAGGAAGGACGAAUAUUUCCAUAUUGCUCUUCAGGACAUGCGUGCAUGUGUGUGCAUGAUGUGUGUGUGUGUGUGUGCAUGUACGGUUUGUUUGAGGUCGUUCGACACUCAACUUGUUUGUGAAAUUCUCAGAGGGAAUCGGAGGUUAAUGGGAACUAGACUUUGUUUACUGACAGGGUAUCCAGACAUUUUGGAGAGCAAACGAGGGAAAAAAACUAAAUAACAAAUGCUGCGUUCCUUGUAACAAAUAGAAAAAAAUAAAAAAGAAACAGAAAACAUUGACUCUCGUGUUGCUUAGGGGAAUCACAAAAACAUUUACUGGUAAACAAGCCCAGAGCGGAAACUCUGGGAACCACUUUGGGGAAAAAGCAGACACA